GUUCACCGGGUGAAGAGAACACACGUCCGUGUCACCAGCUUGGUCCCAGAUGAGACUAAUGUCAGACUGAAGGGAAUGUCUACUUUUAUAACAACAGACACACAAAGUUGUUCCUGGAGGCCGGCCCGGGAGUUGAACCUCUCAUCGUGAUUGGCUAGGAGGACAGGGUGGACGACUCCGAGAUGAGGUACAGCACCGGCUUCCAGCAUGGCAUCAUAGAGGAGAGAACCGAUUGCAUCCUUCACUUGGGAAAGCUCUUCUUCUGAUGACUGCAGCUGUCCCAUAAUGGCAACCGGCCUCUUUGUUUCCUCACUUCCUCCUCCUUCCUGUACCCCCGCCUACUGCAGUGAAGAGAUUAACCAAGACAACGCCGCAGCAGACUGCAGCUCAGCAGUAAAUCUAGAC